CUGGGGCUGAAGAAUGGACUUGCAAGAUGGCCUCACUAACAUGGCUGGCAAGCUGGUGUUGACUGUUGGCUUGAAGCUCAGCUGGGGCUGUUAACCAGUGGCCUCACUUCCUUUCUGCUUGGCCUCUCCACAUGGCUAGAUUGGACUUCUCACAGGGAGGCAGUCUCUGGAUAUUCAAACUUCUUACAUGGUGGCUGGCUUCUUCUAAAAUACAAAAAUGAAAGCUGCCAGGCCUUUGUAAGGCUUAGAAUUGAACUGGCACCCUGUCACUUCCUCCAUGAUCUAUUGGUUAAAGAAGGUCACAGAACCAGCCCAGAUUCAAGGAGCGGGGAACAAUCCAAGGACAUGAAUAUUGCUGUAUUUCCGGAACUGGAGCAAGAAUCAGUGUUGAGAGGGAUUGGUAGCCGACUUCCCGUGACUGACCAGCCUCUCAUUAGCUCUGCCUGACUGCAGACCCUCCAGCCCUGACAAGUCCUCCAGCAGCUCGUUGGCCUGAGCACCCACUCCUGCCUCUGCUAAGAAAACCAACCACCAGGACUCCCAGAUAGUAUCAAGAAACUGAAACUCACCAGAUCACUGCCUCUGGACCAUGAGAUGUCAGAUCCCUCACCUGUCACGAUUGCCUAACUGACCACCUGCUUCCUGUUGACCAUCUCCUCUUCCCUACCCUCCUUAGUUCUUGUUUUCCCAUACAUUGUUACAUUUCUUCCUUGCUCUAUAAACCUCUAAUUACAGUCAGUUGGGGAGAUGGAUGUGGGACUGAUCUCCCAUCUCCUUGGCUGCAGCACCCAAUUAAACCUUCUUUCCUGGCAA